UAUAUUAAUUUGCGCUGUUUUCUUCGCCGGCCGCCGCCUCAAUUUGGUGCUUCUUUUUAUUGAUUACGAUUUUUGUUUGAAGCUUUUUUGUUCAUUGAAAUCAGGUGAUGAGAAAAAAACUGCAACAAUAUGAUGGUAAAUUCCAUGAUUCGUAGUAUUUAAGUCUCUGAUGAUUUCUUUAUAUAUCUGUAACAGAAUUAGAUUUUGGUGUUAGAUUAAUUUCUGGAGUUUUGUUGUUUUGGUUAUAGUAUUUGGGAGAUAUGAUGAACGAAAUUGGUCCGUGUUUCUGAUUGAACAGUGACAGAUAACACCUUUCUUUUUUACUCUACUGAUCUCUCAUUAUUAUUGAGUAUUAUUUUAUAUUUUUAUAUUUUAUUGCCAGAUUUGUGAAAAAUAGCUCAGUGAUUGUAUGCCUUGUGGCAAUAUACGCUAUACCGAUCUAAAGCAUGAGUAGAUAAAAAAAUUUCAAGUAUGAGAGCUAUUUGUAUUUUCCUAUUUGAAACUGUUUUAAUGUGAAUUUUUUGAAAAUUAUUUGGGUCUUCUGCUGUGAUGAAUUCAUGAAAAUUUCACAUGUCAGACUUCAGAGAGAAAUCUAUGAGAAGAUAUUCAUGUAUCUGAGCAAAAUUUACACUUUUUAUAGUUUUACAUCACAUUAUACCAUUGAUUGUUUGCAACUUAUGUGUUUACAUGAUUUAAAUUUUUGCUAAUGGUUAUGAAUCACAGAAAUUCCUUUGCUAAGUUUUGGAUGUUGUUAAUUAUGGCUUCACACAAGAGUCUGCAGCAGGUGCCUGUUAAUGGUAACCCGUCUGCCGCAUGAAGCCUAAACAAAUCCAAGAUGAAGAUCCAUUAGAGUUAAUUGUACUCUCUUGACACAAUAUCUUGGAUAUAUUUAUAUAUAUACACUGUUUUCAAUGGCAUAUCUCAGACAACGGGUAUUUUCUUCUUAUUUCUAUGAGAAACUACCUUUUGCACGGUGCCUAGAUAACGCUACUUAUCACGAUUGGAGGAUGUUAAUUUUUAUCCCCAGCAUUCCUUCAAAUUAAUAGUAGUCAAAUUAUUUUAAGCAUUGAUGAGAUAGCGAACAUGUAAGGAGAUCUAUUUUAAGCUUGGAUCAGCUUGGAUCUUCAAUGAAAUUUUCUUGUUACGCUUGGCUUCUGAGCUUUCUACUCUUGAACUUGAACUUACUUUUUAAAAAACCUGAUUAAAAAAGCAGGGAUCUAUUGCCUUCUUUGUGAAUGGGUCUCUCGUAAAUGUCAGGGAUAUCAAGAAUUGCAUUGUUAUUGGGUGAACCACUUGACUUAAUUUAUGAUGGAAUGGUUCAGUAAACGAUGAUACAUUAUUAUUUAGGUCAAUUUUGUAUUAGAUGUAUCUGAUUUAGUCAUUUAACAAUUGUCGAAGAAUCUGAAAUACUUGAAUUAGUACAAUUUUACUGGAUGAUAAAAUCGAAAUCAGAUGAUGAGAAAAAAACUGCAACAAUAUGAUGUAUUUGGGAGAUGUGAUGAAUGAAAUUGGUCCGUGUUUCUGAUUGAACAGUGACAGAUAACACCUCUUUUUUUUACUCUUCUGAUCUCCCAAAUUUUUCUAUUACACUUUUUAGUCUUUUUUUUUUAGAUUUGUGAGAUACAGUAGCUCAAUGAUGGCAUGCCUUGUACUAAUAUAUCAUGUGACUAAUGUGAUUAUUUUACUGUAUUGCCAUACGAUAUAUUCAAUUUGUUUUUAAUGUGAUUGUGUUAUUUGGA